GUUUACGCUUCCUGGUGGGUUGGUAGGAUAAGGGAUAAAAUGUACCGAUAGGGGGAUCCAAUCCGGUUUGAGCUAGUUCUGGUGUUGGUUGGACGUUUAUGUUAAGUUCCAGAGUGCUUUGGAGGUGUAGACUGAGGUGUAGGACUGACCUACAUUUAAUUUAGUUUCCGAGCUCUAGAAAGGCUGUGUUGUUGUUUUUCCUCUGUGCAGUGCAACCUAGGCAACAAUGGGAAGGAAAAAAUCUACCACCGAGGCAGAUGCAAGUGCUGAGCCAAGGAGAAAGUCUCUAAGGUUGUCAGAAAAAGAAACAACACAGCCAAAACCAGAACCAGAACCAGAAAAGGCGAAGGCAACUCCUAAGAACAAAAAGGUGAAAGAGGCAGCAAAAGCAAAGGAAGAGGAGAAAAAAGAAGAACCUCAAGCAGAGAAAGAAGAGGUUCCUGCAGAAAACGGAGAGGCCAAACCUGAAGAGGCACCGGCAGCAGAUGAGCCAGAGAAAGAGGAGGACAAGACUACAGAGGAGGAUAAAGAAGCAGAGUAGUAGUGAUGCCAUAAAACUCACUUGCCAGUGCUCCCUGUACCUCCUUUGUUGUAAAAUGCAGAGAAUAUUUUUAUCUUCUAUUUUCUUAACACAGCAACAUUUUUAGGUAUGUGAUUGCAUUUUUUUUAUAAAAUACUACAAAUUUGCUUUUGCUUUCAUGGUGUCUGUAAGGAUAAAGCCUCUGUCGUUGUGUUGUUGUGGUCUUUUUGUCUGUAGGACGUAGUUUUUCUGCAUGGCGAGGCAUCUUGAGGGAUUUUUUUUUGUAACCUGUACUGUUUUAAAAAUGCAUCAUAAUACUGUGAUUGGUAGUUAAUCUAAAUAGGAUGAGUUGAAUGGGAGUUAUGUUCUAUGCCCAGUAAAGCUCAACUUCCAUCGUUCUCACAGGACGUGGCUGGGUUGAUUUUUAUUUCAUGGUACAUUUGAGAACACUUAAGUUGAUCCAUGUUCUCGCGUUUGCUCAAAAAAAACGUUACGGUUAGUCAUACUUUUUACGAUUUCUGUAUGAUUUUUGGGAUUUCUCUACCAAUGUACAGUUUUCUUCAUUUUGAAAAGCAGUUAUAUUUGGUAUAAAAAGCCAAAUAAAAGUAAAUUCUUUUAAG
rnacentral:lncRNA from 1 species